rnacentral:rRNA from 1 species
AUUGAACGCUGGCGGCAUGCUUUACACAUGCGAGUCGAACGGCAGCGCGGGCUUCGGCCUGGCGGCGAGUGGCGAACGGGUGAGUAAUGCAUCGGAACGUGCCCAGUAGUGGGGGAUAGCCCGGCGAAAGCCGGAUUAAUACCGCAUACGACCUGAGGGUGAAAGCGGGGGACCGAAAGGCCUCGCGCUAUUGGAGCGGCCGAUGUCGGAUUAGCUAGUUGGUGGGGUAAAGGCUUACCAAGGCGCCGAUCCGUAGCUGGUCUGAGAGGACGACCAGCCAAAAUGGGACUGAGGCACGGCCCAGAAUCCUACGGGAGGCAGCAGUGGGGAAUUUUGGACAAUGGGGGGAACCCUGAUCCAGGCAUGCCGCGUGCGGGAAGAAGGCCUUCGGGUUGUAAAACGCUUUUGUUCGGGAAGAAAUCCUCUGGGCUAAUACCCCGGGGGGAUGACGGUACCGGAAGAAUAAGCACCGGCUAACUACGUG